UCUGUGAUGGCUGAGUGGUUAAGGCAUUGGACUCAUAAUCCAGUGGGGUCUCCCUGCACAGGUUUGAAUCCUGCUCACAAAU